UCACUGAUGCCUGCCCACGACAGCCCACCUCUCUUCCUUACGUUUACAGAGGUCCCUCUCCCGCAGGGCUGUUCAUGACAGAGACUGAUCAAUCUAAGUGGGAAGUCUCAAAAGCUACUGAGUCAAAGCAGAGGGCAGGCACUUGAGGUGCCUUUCAGAGCAGCACUCAGGCUGAUAGUCUGAUUAUCCAAAAAGAUGCCUCGCUGUACCAAAGCAAAUGUUCCUACAGGAUCCCUACUAAAGAAAUGCUUGCCUUCAAAACACGGCUGCCUGGGGGCAUCGUCCUCCUGAUUUCAAUGGUUGUCCAGGACAGGGGUGUGUGGAGGCCGAAUUCAAAAGGUUGUGUUCCCCACCCUAUUCUCCCAAAGCAAGAAAAAGCCCUGAUAUGGAAAAAGAUGACAGACAAGUGAUGUAAAGGUUCAGCUCCACAGGCACUGCCCUUAUUGUCCAAAAACAAGGAGUCCCAAGCAGAGGGGAACAUAGCAGAGAAAAAGCCAGAAGCUCAAAGCAUGAAGUGUCACGGAAGAAUGCACUGCAGAGCCUGCCCGGGAUGAUCCUGACUCCCGCCCCAUCCCAGUGAGCUCAGAGUUUCCAGGAUGGGAGUCAUCCAUCCUUCUGACCUGCUCCAGCUGACAUUCAGCACUUGCCACAAGAGCACAGCCCCCACCACCUACACUGAUUUGCGCAACAAGGCCUGGACACUCCAACUCCAUGAAUAUGUGGGCAGCAUCCUUUUAACCUGCAGGACUCUGCUCUAUCUUGUAUCAGGGGCAGGAGGAGCUGCUGGGCGGUGAAUUGGCAGGAGACCAGCAUCUCUCCCCCAGCAAGCCAGCCCUUUGCAUUUUGCUGCUUGAGCAAGGGCAGCCUGGUGGGACAGUACAAGCAGCCAAUUUCAGUGCGUAGUUUUAAAGUGCCUGGAAAUGAAUCACUGGAAUGAGGAGUGGGAUUUUCAUCAUCAUUUUGCCAUUUGUUACUUGGAUCACUGCUUGCAGUUUUCAGACAUUUUAAGCAGUGAAAUCCAAGAUGUGGGUUUGUGCCAACAAGCAGAGGCUGGAUAGAAAUGGAGAAGUCACUCGUUUUCACACUUUCCAGUGUCCAGACAUAGAGGAAUUUGACAGUGACCUUGUUAUGCAUAUGAACUGAGCUCACUGAUUCCCAGCCAGAACUUUAAUUCACUGCCAAGGAUAAUAAAAUUCAUCAGUGUCCAAGUUUCCAACCAAUAUCAAUGGCCAAGUGUUCAGAGGAACUGUGCAUGCAGUAGGAUGUCAUGUGAAGCUGAAGGAACAGUAGAUACUCAGGCUGCCCACCCUGCAAAUUCAAAGCAGCCUUACUGGAAGGGAAUGCAACUCUGACAAGCCUCUGAUGUCCACAAGAGCACACCUUCCUGCUGUCAGGAUCAAGAGGAACAUGAACUAGGUCAAGUAAGCUAGGACUGCAGAUGAAUGACCGCACCAUUGACUAGACACUGACUGAAGGUUAAGCAGCCUGGAAAGGUGUGGAAAACCACUGCUCAUGAUGGGAAAAAUGACUGAAUGCAAGAGGUAGCAGUUCACUGUGCUGAAGAAUGAAGAGCAAACUCCAAAGUACACGACAGCAAUACAGAUCUUACAAAAUCGUCGAUGGCAUCCUUGACUCCUGAUACGGCCAGCACCAGCACGAGGGGCACCACUGUUGUAAACCAGGCCAGUGAGGAAAUUUGAGGAAUCAG